UCUGGUUGAUCCUGCCUGAACUGAUGUGUUCAUUUCAAAGAUUAAGCCAUGCAUGUAUAAGUUUAAUCGUUUUAACGAGAAACCGCGAACGGCUCAUUACAAUGGCCAUGAUUUACUUGAUCUUGAUUAUCUAAAUGGAUAACUGUGGAAAAGCUAGAGCUAAUACAUGCACCAAAGCUUUGUCCUCUCGGAAAAGCGCAUUUAUUAGAACAAAACCACGCGGCUUCGGCUGCUUCUUGUUGACUCAGAAUAACUAAGCUGACCGCAUGGCCUUGUGCCGGCGGCGUGUCUUUCAAGCGUCCACUUUAUCAACUUGACGGGAGCAUAAUCGACUCCCGUGGUGGUGACGGAUAACGGAGGAUCAGGGUUCGACUCCGGAGAAGGGGCCUGAGAAAUGGCCACUACGUCUAAGGAUGGCAGCAGGCGCGCAAAUUACCCACUCUCGGCUCGAGGAGGUAGUGACGAGAAAUAACGAGAUCGUUCUCUUUGAGGCCGGUCAUCGGAAUGGGUACAAUUUAAACCCUUUAACGAGUAUCAAGCAGAGGGCAAGUCUGGUGCCAGCAGCCGCGGUAAUUCCAGCUCUGCUAAUACAUAGAAUUAUUGCUGCGGUUAAAAAGCUCGUAGUUGGAUUCGUAUCGGUACCCUGGAACCCUCUGGGUGUUUCUGGGUGUUAUCGAUUUAUCGUAAUGUUCGGUUUUGAGUCCUUAACAGGAUUCUUAACAGGCAUUGCAAGUUUACUUUGAACAAAUCAGAGUGCUUCAAACAGGCGUUUUCGCUUGAAUGAUCGUGCAUGGAAUAAUAGAAAACGAUUUCGGUUCAGUUUUAUUGGUUUUACGGACUGAGAUAAUGGUUAACAGAGACAAACGGGGGCAUUUGUAUGGCCCCGUGAGAGGUGAAAUUCUUGGACCGUGGCCAGACAAACUACAGCGAAAGCAUUUGCCAAGAAUGUCUUCAUUAAUCAAGAACGAAAGUCAGAGGUUCGAAGGCGAUCAGAUACCGCCCUAGUUCUGACCGUAAACGAUGCCAACUAGCGAUCCGCCGAUGGAAAUUAUAUUGCCUUGGUGGGGAGCUUCCCGGAAACGAAAGUCUUCCGGUUCCGGGGAAGUAUGGUUGCAAAGCUGAAACUUAAAGGAAUUGACGGAAGGGCACCACCAGGAGUGGAGCCUGCGGCUUAAUUUGACUCAACACGGGGAAACUCACCCGGCCCGGACACUGUGAGGAUUGACAGAUUGAUAGCUUUUUCAUGAUUCAGUGGAUGGUGGUGCAUGGCCGUUCUUAGUUCGUGGAGUGAUUUGUCUGGUUUAUUCCGAUAACGAGCGAGACUCUAACCUACUAAAUAGCUGGUACAUACUCUUAGUGUAUACAGCUUCUUAGAGGGAUUUGCGGUGUUCAGCCGAAAGAAAUUGAGCAAUAACAGGUCUGUGAUGCCCUUAGAUGUCCGGGGCUGCACGCGCGCUACACUGGCAAAAUCAACGUGCUUGUCCUACCCGAAGGGGGCGGGUAAACCAUUGAAAAUUUGCCGUGAUUGGGAUCGGAAAUUGCAAUUAUUUUCCGUGAACGAGGAAUUCCAAGUAAGUGCGAGUCAUCAGCUCGCGUUGAUUACGUCCCUGCCCUUUGUACACACCGCCCGUCGCUGCCCGGGACUGAGCCAUUUCGAGAAAUUUGGGGACCGUUGAUUUAAUUUUUCUAAAUUACUUUGAUGGAAACCAAUUUAAUCGCAGUGGCUUGAACCGGGCAAAAGUCGUAACAAGGUAGCUGUAGGUGAACCUGCUGCUG
rnacentral:rRNA from 1 species